rnacentral:lncRNA from 1 species
GGACUAUGCCAUAAUGGUACCUGCAAAGUGAUAUAAAUCAUUCCAGUCCACAACCACAGUUGCAGACUUAAUACAGAACUUUAGUAGCUCUUGUGUCUUGACAUUACACAACUAUCAUAAUUACGAGUUACAACUGCAUUUGUCCACAAUUAUUUUCCAUUUCGGUAUUUGCAAAGUAAACACAGUUGCAACUGCUAUUCGAAACCAUUUUGAAUCCAGUAUAGCUGAAAAUUUCAACUUUUAUUACAGUUCUGAACAGCAUUUGUGCAAGUAGGAAAUUCAACAAGUUAACUAAACUAUCUUAGCUCCAAUCAAGUUCUGAACAAGUAUCCAUAUCAAAUAAGGAACAAAAUACAAAUUAAGGCUAAAAUACCUGAAAAUUUGUUCAUAUCAUGCCAGUUUCUUCCGUGGUUUGUGCAAGAUUCAGUUUUUCUUCAUAGAGCUUUAAUAGAUACGAAGACUCCUCCUUAAAACGAUUUAUAUACAUGUCAAGGAAAAUCUUCUCCGUGACUACAAAUGGAGAAGUUAAACUUGCUUCUUUAUUUAGCAAACCUUUCUUCAAAAGAUAUUGCACAACCGAGGCUCUUGGUAUGAUCGUUUUUUCCAGACUGGCCCCAAAAACCCUUGGCGUUUUGGCAAUGGCAAGAGCAUCCCAACCCAACUGAUUGACCCAAUAGCUCAUCACUAAAUUAAUUUUAUCAAUGGAUGUUAACAUACAAUGAGGUUGCUUUCUAAAUGCUUUAAGAGCAUCUUCAUUAGACCAACCCCAUUUCUUAAAAACAUCAACUUUUUCUUUCCACAACGUUUUGGUUAUUGAUGUUUUGGCGAUCAAUGCUAUUGUGAAAAUUGACCGCGAAGGAUCAAACCCCAAAUCCUUCAAUUCCUCCACCAACUCAUGCAAGUCCGUCCUGUAGAAUAACUUAAUCCAGGUCCGAAGCGAUCUUGCAAUAUUUGAGUCAGUUACUCCACUCUCAGUAAGCACUUUGAUGUUAUCUACCACAUAACUUGUUCCAAAGAUAGUUGGAUUGUACUUCAACAAAGCAAUAGUGUCCUUGUCUGAUUGCAAAAAUCUAUAAACCAAUUCAUAGGCUGGGACUAUACGAUUCUCGAGGCUUGCAGACAGGACAGCAGGGUUCUUACUGACAAUGUUAACAUUGUCAGAUGUAGAAGCACCUUUGGAGAGUAAAAAUUGAAACUUUGGCAAAACCCUUUUGGAGGGGUUGCAGGAAAGUAGCCAUGGUGAUUUUGCAAUGAUAUGACGUAAUUGGGUGUCUGAGAAACCAUGGUUUCUAAAGAAAUUGAGAACUGAAUCAGGUUUUUGAGCAGUCUUGAAACGAACAUUGUAAGUGGAGCAAAGUUUGGGAGCAGAUUUUGGAGAAAACCCAAAAUUGUUGAUGAGGUAGGAAACUGCAAAUGAGGUUGAAUCGGAAGUGUUGGUGCAGAAAUGAAGAGAAAACAAAAGAGGGUUAGGGUUUGGGGAUAGUAAUGUUAAUCCGUUGAGAUAAUAGAUUAGGGUUUUGUGGCAAAAUGAAUUGAACUUGAACAUGAUGAUGAAUUGUGGUGAAAAUUGAAGUGGAAAAUUUUGAAGAAAAGAGUUGAAAUUUGAAAGAGUGAAAGAGAAGAAGAUGAAUAGUGAUGUGUUGUUACCAUCAAAUUUGAAAGAAUGAAAGGGAAAAAGAUGAAUACUUCAUCAUGGUUCAGCUCAGGUGCUUUCACGGCUGUUGUUCAGCAUGAGAUUUGGUUUCACACUUAUGGCAUAUUGGCAGGCUUUGUAUAAGGAAACUUUGUUUUUUCAAUUUUAUUGAAAAAUUAAUGUAUAUGGUAAAUAAGUAAUUAUUCAAUAAAUCUACAAAAAGAAUUUUUGUUUACAUGGUUAAAUAACUUUUUUUCUCGGUGCCGAAUUCCUCUAAGUUGAAGAUUCACUCCUCAACCAAGUGACGUCUUGGGAGAUAGUUAAAUAAAUUUCUGAUUUUUAUAAAUAUUUCGAAUUUUGUUUUUAGUUUAAAUAAGUUUUUGGUCUCUAUAAAUAUUUCGAAUUUUGUUUUUAGUUCCUAUAAAAUUUUCUAGAAACUUUUGGUCUCUCAACUAGUAUUUUCUAUCACAAUUUUUUGUUCCUACUUUUAAUCAAACUCUUGUGUAAUUUCACAUUUUUUAAUAAUUUUUCGUAUUUUUAUAAUAUUAUAAAAACAUCUCACAUAAAAUAUUUAGAAUUUUUUUACCAUAAGAUUAAUUAUUUAUGAAUUUUAUGUCCAAAAAAUUGAAAUAUUCUUAUUUUAUUCAUCUCUUAAAAAAAAUUAAAUUUUUGCAAGAGAGGUUCAUAUAAUGUACUAAACAUGACUGCGGAAAAAAUUUUAAAAUGUAAAAUGAUAUGCAUGAGUUGAAUAAAAAGUAGGGACAAUAAAUCAUGAUAAAAAAUACUUUAGGGACCAAAAGUUGCUAGAAAAAUUUUAUAGAGACUAAACAUAAAAUUUGAGAUAUUUAUAAUGACAGAAAACAUAUUACUUUUUUGGUUAAUUACCAAAAACAUAUUUAACCCUCGUUUAUAUAUGAGAAUUAAGGAAGUAAUGUUCUAUUUAACUACUCACAUAGAAAUAUAAUUUAGUAAAGAAAAAAAAUUAACUUAUAUUUUGACAAAAAAAAAAAAAAUUAACUUUUGAAAGCACAACAUAUUCAAGUUAUUCUGUCAAAGAAAAAAAAAAGAAACAUAUCAAAGAAAUUCUAAGAUAAAUCUAUAGUUAAUACUGUGAAUUUACAAUUUAUAGGCAACUUUUUUAAAAUCAAAUUUUUGGUCUCUAUUUUCAUAUUUAUUGUAAUUUUGGUCUUAAAUUUUAGCUCAUGCACUUUGGCAUAAAAACUAUGAUUUUUUUUCCAUAAAAAAUGUGAAUUCUAAUUUCAAGAGAUAUUUUCAUUAAAUUCAAUGCUAGGACGAUAAAUCACUUUAUGGAUAAAAAAAAAAUACUAAUUUUAGUUAGAAAAACAUCGGUUGGGAUCAAAUUUACACCAAUAUAAAAAUAGAGGUGAAAGAUUGAAUUAAAAAAGGGGACAUUUUUCACGGAUUUAAUAAAAUAGAAGAAUCAUAAGUGAAACUAAACAAAUAAUAUAAUUCACACUUCCCAUUUUAAAUGACUUAUUUGUAAUAAUUAAAGAGAAAUAACGAUCGUCCCGUGUAGCUCAAAUCGUAGCUACCGGGAACAUUAUUGGAGUGGCCGGUGUUCGAACCCCAAAUUCCACAUUUCUCCACAUUUAAAUGUGUAAAACUCUAAUCACUAGGCUACNNNNNNNNNNNNNNNNNNNNNNNNNNNNNNNNNNNNNAAAAUAACGAUUAUUUGUACCAAAAAAGAAGAAGAGAAAUAUCGUUACUUUUAUUUAUUUUUUCCUUAAAAAGUAUUGAUGACUUAUUUGAGUCAUGAAAUUAGUAAUGAUUAGAGAGUAUUAUUGUAAAAUAUUGCAUUGAAAGUCGAAUAGGUCAAAUAUUUUGGAACAAAUUUCUCUUCUAUUUGAGUCAUUUAUUUUGGGAUGGAUGAAGUAGUAUCAUACUAAUAUAAAAAAAAAUUAAAAAUGUUUAUGAGAAUCGUCGCCUCUCCUCAUCUUCCUUCUAGCCACGUCUCCAAUUGAUAGGGACAUCAAAUUAUAUAUACAGAGUCUGAAUUCGAACCCCGAACACUCUACUUGUUUACCGCAAACAUCACAAUUCACAAGCCUACCAUUAUUAGCAUCCAUGAUCUAUCUAUCAAUUCAUUCUAACACUGUACAGACCAAACAAUGCAAUGUAUCAUUUCAUUUUUUGAAAACUGGUUGUACCUUUAAAGAAGACAAAUGGUACAAAAUUAAAUGACUUCACACACAAGUAAUUCGAAUAUUACGAUGAAAAGAUGUGAUACAUAAAACAUAAACAUUAGUCUUGCAAUUAAAAGCGCAUCUAGCGACAAAAUCUGAGAGGGCUGGUCAUUGAUGGUUUUUGGAGGUAAGAAUGCACUUUUUCUAGUUUGACACAUGAUAGCUACAGCCACGACACGAUCUUUGUGAAAGCCUCGGAUUCACUUUGAAAAUUUAGGAAGUUGUCACUUCAGGCAACCAACCAUUUACAUCAAUACAUCAACCUGGGACCAUACAGCAAUUUUUGUAAAAUGUUAACUCUACCAGGGACUAUAAGAUCAUAGUAAAAACUCCAAGCUGUUCAUUAAAACAUGAAUAUAUCCAAUUGCUAAUAGAUUUGAUUCACUUCUAAACGAUAAGUUAAGUUACUUCAACUACAAUGUAUAUUUGCACAUGCUUAUGUAGCAGUAUAAGCUCCACAAUAUUACUAUAGAACUUAUCAUUCAACUUCAAAUAAAGUUAUGAAAGUAGAUGAUGAUGCUGAUACUUUUUCUGUAGAAUGUCAAUUGAACAGAAACGUCAAUCCGUAAAACGAAUACAUCACUCCUCUUCACAUACAGACAGUCAAAAUUUGAUCUAAAACAGAAGUGAAAUCUGCCAAACAGUCUCUCGAUGGGAAUUUUUCCAUUUCCAUUUUUUAUAGAAGAAAAAUAUAUUGCAAACUAUAUCUAAGAGGUGGAUAAGAUAUUCGUCUAAAAUGGGAAAAUUAAAUAAAACAAUGAGCCUUAGUGGCUCAAGAAGACCGCAAAAAUGUUGAAUCUCAAUGUACAUCAGUAAUAGAAAAUACAUUAAAUAUUCCCUUGGAAUAAUGAUGUUUAGAGAACCGGAGGAAAAGUAUAUAGAAAUCAGAAAUAUUACUUACCAACGCAUAAGCCAUCCUCAGGAAUUGUGUGAACCUGCAAUAACGAGUUUACAUUGUUGGUUGGAAACGUAGCAAUUGAAUCAAAUGAAACAUAUCAACUAUUGUUUUCUUUAAUAAGUUAUUAGAGAAAUUUUGUUGUUGAAUGAAUGAUGUAGUCAUAUCAACUAAACUACAGAACAUGGACAAAAUACCAAGGGGCAUUCAUCAAAAUAAUACUUAUGAACUAUGUGACUAUGUCAUAAUGCUAAUUGCUAUGCUGUUAAUCCCAGAUAGUGGCGUGUAGCCCCGAACCCCAAAAUGCUAUAGCGGUAUAGCGGAUAGCAGGAUGACCGCUGUUGUGAAGACUAAAAAACAAUGUACAAAGUAAACAUAAACUCCAACAAGAAACAUAGAUACUAAUAGUAAACAAAAUAUCCCUUUAUUGUGAAGACUAAGAAACAAUGACAAAAUCAAGUUCUAACUUCUAGGUAAACAAAAUGACAAGCCAUUAAAAUCCAGUUCUAAAAUUGUGCUAAUGUUACGAGUUAUUACGAUACUGCUAGUUUGUGUUGCCACGUGGUAUUAUUGCGAUAUGUGGUGAACAUAGAACACUACUUCCCUGUUUUUAUUUUUAUGAUGAAAUAUAUAUACAGUAAUAAAAAAGGGAUAUUUUGGUCAUUAAAAUUUUAAUAGCUUCCAAUUCGGUUGCUCACACUUUAGCUAGGGCGGCCAAUUCUUGAACUAGUUUCCAUAGAUUUGAGAUUAUUCCUUCAUGUAUUGAACUUUUGAUAAUUAAUGAAAUGCAGUAAGUUUGUUUGAUUCAAAAAAAAAAAUUUAAUAGCUUCCAUUCCAUCCCAUACACAUACACCCCAAAUUGGAAGGGAAGAAAAUAAGAAAAAGGAUGGAAUGAGAUGGAAUGGAUUCCAUUGUGUUCCAUUCCAUUCCAUUCAAUUUUAAAAUAUCCAAACAAUGGAAUCUCAUUCCAUACCACUCUAUUCCAUUCCAUUCCGUUGUUUUCCAUCAAUCCAAACAUAGCCUAAAGGAAAUCCAAAGCAUGCUUUGCAUCUUCGUCUGCCUCAUUUUCACUUCACCAUAUCAAUAUUCUCUUGUUCAUCACUUGAUUCAAACUAUUGUUCUUCCACCUCCAACUCCUCAUCUCAUCUCCAUUAGGCACAACUUUAGUGAGUCUAGAAUUCCAUAGCGGUAUAGCAGAAAGUGGGAUUUCCGCAAUUUGCAUCUGCUACAACCGCCAUUACUUGGCGCCACAAGGAAAGAUGGCGUUGUGCCGAAUCCUACCACGCUAUGCUAUUUUGUUAUAGUGCUCUAUUGACAACAUAGGACAAUUGCAUAGUGUUUUGAAUAAUUGUAGUUGAUAAUCAUAAUUACAACCUUAAUAUUAAGUUUGGGAGCUCUUAACAAUUAUACCGUGACCAUUAUGACAACUGACAACUGCAUCAGUGAACAAUUAUUUGCAUUUUUGGCAUUUGGGAAAUUACUACCAUAGCUACUGGAACCUAAAAUUAGUUCGAACUCAGCAACCUAAUCUGGUAUAGCUUAACUUAUGCAAUACAUUAUUGGACUAUACAAACAUGGAUGAAGAAAUGACACAAUAAAAAAAAAAAAUAUUCCAUGCCCAUAAAUGAUAAAUGCAAGAAAAUUUCAACUUUUACCUGUAUUACUACGAAACUAUCAGGCAUUACUUUCAGAAUGAUAUACAUCAUGAUUUUGAAAAAAAAAAUCAAUCAAAACCAACAUUUGAUUAAGUAUUCAAAUCGAACAAGAUAUAAGAUACAAAUUAAGGCUAAAAUACCUGAAAAGUUGUUCAUGACAUAGUAUCAGUUUCGUCCCUGGCGUGUGCAAGAUUCAGUUUUUCUUCAUAAAGCUUUAAUAGAUAAGAUGACUGCUCCUUAUAACGGUUUAUAUACCUUUCAAGGAACAACUUAUCGCUGACUACAAAUGGAGUAGUUAAGCUUGCUUUCUUAUUCAGUAAACCUUUUAUCAGAAUAUAUUGCAGAACUGCGGCCCUUGGUAUGAUCCUUCUCUCUAGACAGGACCCAAAAACCCUUGGUAGUUUGACAAUGGCCCUAGCAUCCCAACCUAACUGAUUGACCCAAAAGCUCAUCACUGAAUUAAUUUUAUCAAUGGAUGUUAACAUAAUAUGAGGCUGCUUUUUAAAUGCUUCUAAAACAUCUGCAUCAGACCAACCCCAUUUCUUAAUGGCAUCAACUUUCUCUUCCCAUCUGGUUUUGGUUAUUUUUCUUUUGGCAAUCAGUGCUUCAGAAAAAAAUGAUUGUGAAAGAUUAAACCCCAAACCCUUCAAUUCCUCCACCUCCAUCAAAAUGUCACUUCUGCAUAGUAUGCUGCUUUGUCUCCGAAUCACUCUUGUAAUGUUUAAAUCGGUCACUCCAUUCUCAAUCAUCACUCUAAUGUUAUGUGGCGCAAAAUGGUGAGUAAGUAAAGUUGGAUUGCCAAAUGCACAAGCAAUAACGUCCUUGUCAGAUUUCAAGAAUUUAUACAACAACUCAUAGGUUGGGACUAUAUGAUUCUCCAAGCUUGGAGACAAGACCAUAGGGUACUUACUGACAAGGUUAACAAUGUCAGAGUUAGAAGCACCUUUGGAGAGGAAAAAUUCAAACUUUGGCAAAACCCUUUUGGAGGGAUUGCAGGAAAGUAGCCAUGGUGAUUUUGCAAUGAUAUUACGUAAUUGGGUGUCUGAGAAACCAUGGUUUCUAAAGAAAUUGAGAACUGAAUCAGGUUUUUGAGCAGUUUUGAAACGAACAUUGUAAGUGGAGCAAAGUUUGGGAGCAGAUUUUGGGGAAAACCCAAAAUUGUUGAUGAGAUAGGAAGCAGCAAAUGAGGUUGAAUCGGAAGUGUUGGUGCAGAAAUGAAGAGAAAACAAAAGAGGGUUAGGGUUUGGGGAUUGUAAUGUUAAUUCCUUAAGAUGAUAGAUUAGGGUUUUGUGGCGCCAUGAAUUGAAUUUGAACAUUAUGAUGAAUUAUUGAUGGGGUGAAAAUUGAACGAAAAUGAGCGUUGUUAUUUUGAAGUGGAAACUUUUGAAGAAAAGGGUUCAAAUUUAAAAGAGUGAAAGUGAUGAAGAUGAAUAGUGUUGUGUUGUUGUUACCUUCAAUCUAUUCUUCUCGGAGGAUGACGN